AACGAACGCUGGCGGCAUGCCUAACACAUGCAAGUCGAACGAAGUCUUCGGACUUAGUGGCGCACGGGUGCGUAACGCGUGGGAAUCUGCCCUUGGGUGCGGAAUAACUUCUCGAAAGGGAUGCUAAUACCGCAUAAUGUCGUAAGACCAAAGAUUUAUCGCCCAAGGAUGAGCCCGCGUAAGAUUAGCUAGUUGGUGGGGUAAAAGCCUACCAAGGCGACGAUCUUUAGCUGGUCUGAGAGGAUGAUCAGCCACACUGGGACUGAGACACGGCCCAGACUCCUACGGGAGGCAGCAGUGGGGAAUAUUGGACAAUGGGCGAAAGCCUGAUCCAGCAAUGCCGCGUGAGUGAUGAAGGCCCUAGGGUUGUAAAGCUCUUUUACCAGGGAUGAUAAUGACAGUACCUGGAGAAUAAGCUCCGGCU
rnacentral:rRNA from 1 species